UACGGAGGGUGCAAGCGUUGUUCGGAAUUACUGGGCGUAAAGCGCGUGUAGGCGGUCGGGUAAGUCAGAUGUGAAAGCCUUCCGCUUAACGGAAGAAGGGCAUUUGAAACUACCCGGCUGGAGUACGGGAGAGGAGAGUGGAAUUCCCGGUGUAGAGGUGAAAUUCGUAGAUAUCGGGAGGAACACCAGUGGCGAAGGCGGCUCUCUGGCCCGAUACUGACGCUGAGACGCGAAAGCGUGGGGAGCAAACAGG
rnacentral:rRNA from 1 species